UACAGAGGUCCCAAGCGUUGUUCGGAUUCACUGGGCGUAAAGGGUGCGUAGGUGGUGGUGUAAGUCGGAUGUGAAAGCUCGGAGCUCAACUCCGAAAUGGCAUUGGAAACUACCCUGCUAGAGGAUUGGAGGGGGGACUGGAAUACUUGGUGUAGCAGUGAAAUGCGUAGAUAUCAAGUGGAACACCAGUGGCGAAGGCGAGUCCCUGGACAAUACCUGACACUGAGGCACGAAAGCUAGGGGAGCAAACAGG
rnacentral:rRNA from 1 species